rnacentral:lncRNA from 1 species
CAGAAAUUGAUAACCAGAGUUAGAUAGAAGUUUAAAAUGACUCAACUAUGUAAGUAUGUCAUGAUGUAUAGUGAACUUCUGGAAAAUGUCUAAUAGCUAUAAAUAAUGUAAAGUCAUCAAUGUAAGGGUAUUGGUAAAGAGAGCCUAAUUCUCCUGGAUGGAUGGAAAGGACACCUCUCCCCAGAUACCAGUUAGUAGACAGCUUUAAAAGCCAGGGGUCUGAAGGCCAUUCUCCCUCAGACCUACCCGGUGUGGUUUGGAGCUCAAAACAGUGAAACUCCUGGUGUGUGAUGUGAGCAAAUCAUGUUGCCAGAGGGCACAUUGCUAUUGAUUAAACUUGUACAGGGGCUUGUCAGCGUAGAUGUACCAAGGCUUGUGAAGUGGGGGAGGGGACACUUGGCACUUUUGAUAGUGUGAAAAUGGGUUAAUUAUUCUCUAAAAGGGCUUCAUUUAAAAGUAAAAUUCUAACAUUUUAAUUUCCCCUCCUAAUGAAGCACUACAAAUUUGUUAAUUAGAGCAAUUGUUUGAGUGACAGGCAUGUAACCAAGUUGUCAUUUUCUCUUCACAGUUGACAGAUCCUUUCAGACCUAUGUUAAGGAAACCAGGGAAGUGGUGUGCUAUGCAUGUUCACAUCGCCUGGCAGAUUUACCACCACCAACAGAAAGUCAAGAAACAGAUGCAGUCAGACCCACAUAAGCUGGACUUUGGACUGAAACCUGAGUUCCUGAGCCGCCCUCCAGGCCCCAGUCUUUUU